CAGCUAGUUGGUGAGGUAAUGGCUCACCAAGGCUUCGAUCUGUAGCUGGUCUGAGAGGACGGCCAGCCACACUGGCACUGACACACGGGCCAGACUCCUACGGGAGGCAGCAGUGGGGAAUUUUGGGCAAUGGGCGAAAGCCUGACCCAGCAACGCCGCGUGAGGGAGGAAAUCCUUCGGGAUGUAAACCUCACAAGCAAGGGAAGAGAGCUACGGGCUGAAUAAUCCCGUAGUGCGACGGUACCUUGCGUAAGCCACGGCUAACUACGUGCCAGCAGCCGCGGUAAUACGUAGGUGGCAAGCGUUGUUCGGAAUUAUUGGGCGUAAAGGGCGCGUAGGCGGCCUGUUAAGUCGGCUGUGAAAGCCCGGGGCUCAACCCCGGAGGGUCAGCCGAUACUGGCAGGCUAGAGUACGGA
rnacentral:rRNA from 1 species